rnacentral:rRNA from 1 species
GACGAACGCUGGCGGCGUGCCUAAUACAUGCAAGUCGAGCGAACAGAGAAGGAGCUUGCUCCUUCGACGUUAGCGGCGGACGGGUGAGUAACACGUUGGCAACCUACCUUAUAGUUUGGGAUAACUCCGGGAAACCGGGGCUAAUACCGAAUAAUCUGUUUAACCUCAUGGGGAAACACUGAAAGACGGUUUAGGCUGUCGCUAUAUGAUGGGCCCGCGGCGCAUUAGCUAGUUGGUGAGGUAACGGCUCACCAAGGCGACGAGGCGAAGCGGACCUGCGAGGGUGAUCGGCCAACCUGGGACUGAGACACGGCCCAGACUCCUACGGGAGGCAGCAGUAGGGAAUCUUCCACAAUGGGCGAAAGCCUGAUGGAGCAACGCCGCGUGAGUGAAGAAGGAUUUCGGUUCGUAAAACUCUGUUGUAAGGGAAGAACAAGUACAGUAGUAACUGGCUGUACCUUGACGGUACCUUAUUAGAAAGCCACGGCUAACUACGUGCCAGCCGCCGCAGUAAUAC